rnacentral:rRNA from 1 species
AACGAACGCUGGCGGCAUGCCUAACACAUGCAAGUCGAACGAGACCUUCGGGUCUAGUGGCGCACGGGUUCGUAACGCGUGGGAACCUGCCCUUAGGUUCGGAAUAACUCCCCGAAUGGGGUGCUAAUACCGGAUAAUGUCUUCGGACCAAAGAUUUAUCGCCUUGGGAUGGGCCCGCGUUGGAUUAGCUAGUUGGUAGGGUAAAAGCCUACCAAGGCGACGAUCCAUAGCUGGUCUGAGAGGAUGAUCAGCCACACUGGGACUGAGACACGGCCCAGACUCCUACGGGAGGCAGCAGUGGUGAAUAUGGGACAAUGGGCGAAAGCCUGAUCCAGCAAUGCCGCGUGAGUGAUGAAGGCCUUAGGGUUGUAAAGCUCUUUUACCCGGGAUGAUAAUGACAGUACCGGGAGAAUAAGCUCCGGCUAACUCCGU